rnacentral:rRNA from 1 species
AUUGAACGCUGGCGGCAGGCCUAACACAUGCAAGUCGAACGAGUGGCGGACGGGUGGGUAGUGGCUGGGCAACUGCCUGAUGGACGGGGAUGACUACUGGAAACGGUAGCUAAUACCGCAUACCAUGCUAUGUGCCCAGGUGGGAUUAGCUAGUGGGUGGGGUAACGGCUCACCUAGGCGACGAUCCCUAGCUGGUCUGAGAGGGUGACCGGCCACACUGGAACUGAGACACGGUCCAGACUCCUACGGGAGGCAGCAGUGGGGAAUAUUGCACAAUGGGCGAAAGCCUGAUGCAGCCACGCCGCGUGUAUGAAGAAGGUCUUCGGGUUGUAAAGUACUUUUGGCGGGGAGGCGGUAUCCAAACAAGAAGCACCGGCUAACUCCGUGCCAGCAGCCGCGGUAAUUC